GCGAACGCUGGCGGCGUGCUUCACACCUGCCAGUCGCACGGAAAGGCCCUGCUUUUGUGGGGUGCUCGAGUGGCGAACGGGUGAGUAACACGUGAGUAACCUGCCCUUGACUUUGGGAUAACUUCAGGAAACUGGGGCUAAUACCGGAUAGGAGCUCCUGCUGCAUGGUGGGGGUUGGAAAGUUUCGGCGGUUGGGGAUGGACUCGCGGCUUAUCAGCUUGUUGGUGGGGUAGUGGCUUACCAAGGCUUUGACGGGUAGCCGGCCUGAGAGGGUGACCGGCCACAUUGGGACUGAGAUACGGCCCAGACUCCUACGGGAGGCAGCAGUGGGGAAUAUUGCACAAUGGGCGGAAGCCUGAUGCAGCAACGCCGCGUGCGGGAUGACGGCCUUCGGGUUGUAAACCGCUUUCGCCUGUGACGAAGCGUGAGUGACGGUAAUGGGUAAAGAAGCACCGGCUAACUACGUG
rnacentral:rRNA from 1 species